UUGGCGAUGAUGAGACGCGCAGGGGUACGGACCUCAGCUGAUGAUGGGGGCUGAGUGCUGGUGGCAGUUCCCAGAUCAGCAGGCAUGUGGUCUGCUGGCUGGAGGUCACUGGCAUGAUAAAGUCGCAAACUCUGAGCCUC
ensembl:snoRNA